GAGUGAGUGGCGGACGGGUGAGUAACACGUGGGUAACCUGCCCUAAAGUGGGGGAUAACAUUUGGAAACAGAUGCUAAUACCGCAUAAAACCUAGCACCGCAUGGUGCAAGGUUGAAAGAUGGUUUCGGCUAUCACUUUAGGAUGGACCCGCGGUGCAUUAGUUAGUUGGUGAGGUAAAGGCUCACCAAGACCGUGAUGCAUAGCCGACCUGAGAGGGUAAUCGGCCACACUGGGACUGAGACACGGCCCAGACUCCUACGGGAGGCAGCAGUAGGGAAUCUUCCACAAUGGACGAAAGUCUGAUGGAGCAACGCCGCGUGAGUGAAGAAGGUUUUCGGAUCGUAAAACUCUGUUGUUGGAGAAGAACGUAUUUGAUAGUAACUGAUCAGGUAGUGACGGUAUCCAACCAGAAAGCCACGGCUAACUACGUGCCAGCAGCCGCGGUAAUACGUAGGUGGCAAGCGUUGUCCGGAUUUAUUGGGCGUAAAGCGAGCGCAGGCGGUUUCUUAAGUCUGAUGUGAAAGCCUUCGGCUCAACCGAAGAAGUGCAUCGGAAACUGGGAAACUUGAGUGCAGAAGAGGACAGUGGAACUCCAUGUGUAGCGGUGAAAUGCGUAGAUAUAUGGAAGAACACCAGUGGCGAAGGCGGCUGUCUGGUCUGUAACUGACGCUGAGGCUCGAAAGCAUGGGUAGCAAACAGGAUUAGAUACCCUGGUAGUCCAUGCCGUAAACGAUGAGUGCUAGGUGUUGGAGGGUUUCCGCUCUUCAGUGCCGCAGCUAACGCAUUAAGCACUCCGCCUGGGGAGUACGACCGCAAGGUUGAAACUCAAAGGAAUUGACGGGGGCCCGCACAAGCGGUGGAGCAUGUGGUUUAAUUCGAAGCAACGCGAAGAACCUUACCAGGUCUUGACAUCCUUUGACCACUCUAGAGAUAGAGCUUUCCCUUCGGGGACAAAGUGACAGGUGGUGCAUGGUUGUCGUCAGCUCGUGUCGUGAGAUGUUGGGUUAAGUCCCGCAACGAGCGCACCCUUAUUACUAGUUGCCAGCAUUUAGUUGGGCACUCU
rnacentral:rRNA from 1 species